rnacentral:lncRNA from 10 species
GGUCACUGAGAUAUGGCUUAUGUAAAUAAAUUGGGAAGUUGAGUGUUUUUAAUUUUUUUAUAUAUACAAAGCAGAAACUUUUGAAAUGUUCUUCAAUUAAUUCUUGAGCCUGGCCUUUACAAUUUAUUUAAACACACACACACGCACACGUUUUUUAUUAGGCAGUAUUUCUCAGAAAAACAAAACCAAUAGGACAUACAUCUACGUGUUUGUGUGUGUAGAAAUUUACUAUGGAAAUUGACUCAUGUUAUAAUUUAUUAUGGGAAUUAUAGAGGUGGAGAAAUCCCAUGAUUUGCCAUCUGCAAGCUGGAGAACCAGGAAAAACAGUGGUGUAAUUCAGUCAACUCCAAAGGUGAGAUGGGGGAGGGAGAUGGGGAGAGACUGAAGUAAGUCCCAGGUCAAGUCAAAUGUUUGAGAACCAGGUGUGCUGAUUUCUGAGAAGGGGAGAAGAUAAAUGGCCUAGCUCUGAAAGAGAGGGUAAGUUUUUGUUCUAUACAGGCCUUCAGUGGAUUGGAUGAUGCUGGCCUACAUUGGUCUGAGACCCUCUGAUUUUUCUUGGAAUCCCCAGGAGUUAGCAAAAUCUGUGCAGCAGCCAUUGCAUCUUCUAGCAGGAAAGUUUCUACCAAAGACCUUUCCAGUAUCAACAUAUGAAGAAGAAGAAAGAAACUGGCUGUUACCGAUCUCACAGUCUUUCUGAUGGACAAAAGUGACAAAGCAUGAAGACUGAAGACGACAGGAAUUUUAUAUUUAG